CUAAACCUAUUUAAUCUUACAUUAAAAGAAUGAGCAUUUGACAUAAUUUGCAAAAGUCUUUACAAAUUUUUAUAAUUGUUUUCAGUUGAUAAUUUCAAGUGCAGGGAAAACUCGUGCUUGCUCCAUUGAUGGAGUUUGAGACUUCCACAACAAAUAACCUCUUCGUUUGGAUGGAGGCCACUGUGUCGUCUUUGAAGUAAGUGUGAAAUAUGAAGAUGAUCCAUAUCUUUGUGUAUUUUGGAGAUAAGGGAAAGUGAGCAUUUUCUGGAAGGGACUAGAAUUAGGGAGAGAGAGAUUACAUCCCUAGUUGACUUCCAUUCAAAUGAAAUACCUUGUUUUUUUACCUGAAUUCUCCUAUCAAAUUUUGUUCCUAUUGGAGAACGUUGGAAUUUCCUUAUAGCUGAUAUAGCCGCUUGGUGAAAUUAUCAAUCAAUGAAGAGUUGGUGACCAAAGCUUCUUCCUUCCAUAUGCCCUGUAAAAGAAAAUUUUUAGAAGCCAUGAGAACUUACAUAUUCCUCGCAGCAAUUGAAGUUAAAGUCAACUGUAGGAAAAGAAUUCCAAAAGAGCUCAACUUCCCUCCCCUAUUCCCCUCUGUUUAUAUUGAUGAGAAUGCUUAUGUUCUAGGGUCAUAUGAAUUUUACUCUGCAUUUAGUUAGGAUGUUAUGCCCUUCCUAAAUUUUAGAUCCUUACUACUUGAAGUAUGAGUGUAUUCCUUCAAAAUUUCUGAAGGGUAGGUUGUCCAUUGUCCCAUGUAUGGUUUUAACUGCUUCACUUAAGGUCAACUUUGUGUUUAGUUAUUUAUUCUUAUAUUCAAAAUAUUCUUUUUUACGUAUUUAUUUGGCCCUAGAGCAUAAUAUUCACAAAUUUUAUAUAUUUUAAAGCUUGAUAUAAACGUUAGCAAUUCUUCUGGUAAUGUCCUACCUGCUAAGUUUAUAGUAUUUCUAAAUUACUGAUACCUUGUCUUUAGAGCAAAAUUUACUUCUUCUUUAUUUUUUGUCAGAUUGAAGUAGUUUUAUUUCAUACAUCCUUGAAGAAGGCUGGAAAAAUUCACAAGUGCAACUCUGAAAUGUCAAAUGUGUACUUCCAUUAAAAAAAAAAAAAAAAA